rnacentral:rRNA from 1 species
UGCAGUCGAGGGGUAUAGUUCUUCGGAACUAGAGACCGGCGCACGGGUGCGUAACGCGUAUGCAAUCUACCUUUUACAGAGGGAUAGCCCAGAGAAAUUUGGAUUAAUACCUCAUAGUAUAUAGCCCUGGCAUCAGGAUUAUAUUAAAGUCACAACGGUAAAAGAUGAGCAUGCGUCCCAUUAGCUAGUUGGUAAGGUAACGGCUUACCAAGGCUACGAUGGGUAGGGGUCCUGAGAGGGAGAUCCCCCACACUGGUACUGAGACACGGACCAGACUCCUACGGGAGGCAGCAGUGAGGAAUAUUGGACAAUGGGCGCAAGCCUGAUCCAGCCAUGCCGCGUGCAGGAUGACGGUCCUAUGGAUUGUAAACUGCUUUUAUACGAGAAGAAACACUCCUUCGUGAAGGAGCUUGACGGUAUCGUAAGAAUAAGGAUCGGCUAACUCCGUGCCAGCAGCCGCGGUAAUACGGAGGAUCCAAGCGUUAUCCGGAAUCAUUGGGUUUAAAGGGUCCGUAGGCGGUUUAAUAAGUCAGUGGUGAAAGCCCAUCGCUCAACGGUGGAACGGCCAUUGAUACUGUUAGACUUGAAUUAUUAGGAAGUAACUAGAAUAUGUAGUGUAGCGGUGAAAUGCUUAGAGAUUACAUGGAAUACCAAUUGCGAAGGCAGGUUACUACUAAUUGAUUGACGCUGAUGGACGAAAGCGUGGGUAGCGAACAGGAUUAGAUACCCUGGUAGUCCACGCCGUAAACGAUGGAUACUAGCUGUUGGAAGCAAUUUCAGUGGCUAAGCGAAAGUGAUAAGUAUCCCACCUGGGGAGUACGUUCGCAAGAAUGAAACUCAAAGGAAUUGACGGGGGCCCGCACAAGCGGUGGAGCAUGUGGUUUAAUUCGAUGAUACGCGAGGAACCUUACCAAGCUUAAAUGUAGAUUGACCGGUUUGGAAACAG